rnacentral:rRNA from 1 species
CUGCGGCAGCGAACGUAUCACCCAAGACAACUUUACGGAGUUGACGAUUGACGGAGCGAAGCGACGUCAAAGCGUUCAUUAAAGUCGAGUUGGCUUAGGGAUACGUUCGUUGGGUAGGGGAGCGUUCUGUAAGCCUGUGAAGGUGUGUCGUGAGGCAUGCUGGAGGUAUCAGAAGUGCGAAUGCUGACAUAAGUAACGAUAAAGCGGGUGAAAAGCCCGCUCGCCGGAAGACCAAGGGUUCCUGUCCAACGUUAAUCGGGGCAGGGUGAGUCGACCCCUAAGGCGAGGCCGAAAGGCGUAGUCGAUGGGAAACGGGUUAAUAUUCCCGUACUUGGUGUUACUGCGAAGGGGGGACGGAGAAGGCUAUGUUGGCCGGGCGACGGUUGUCCCGGUUUAAGCGUGUAGGUGUGUGUUCCAGGUAAAUCCGGUUCACUUUAACACUGAGGCGUGACGACGAGGCACUACGGUGCUGAAGCAACAAAUGCCCUGCUUCCAGGAAAAGCCUCUAAGCAUCAGGUAACAUCAAAUCGUACCCCAAACCGACACAGGUGGUCAGGUAGAGAAUACCAAGGCGCUUGAGAGAACUCGGGUGAAGGAACUAGGCAAAAUGGUGCCGUAACUUCGGGAGAAGGCACGCUGACACGUAGGUGAAGUGAUUUACUCAUGGAGCUGAAGUCAGUCGAAGAUACCAGCUGGCUGCAACUGUUUAUUAAAAACACAGCACUGUGCAAACACGAAAGUGGACGUAUACGGUGUGACGCCUGCCCGGUGCCGGAAGGUUAAUUGAUGGGGUCAGCGCAAGCGAAGCUCCUGAUCGAAGCCCCGGUAAACGGCGGCCGUAACUAUAACGGUCCUAAGGUAGCGAAAUUCCUUGUCGGGUAAGUUCCGACCUGCACGAAUGGCGUAAUGAUGGCCAGGCUGUCUCCACCCGAGACUCAGUGAAAUUGAACUCGCUGUGAAGAUGCAGUGUACCCGCGGCAAGACGGAAAGACCCCGUGAACCUUUACUAUAGCUUGACACUGAACAUUGAGCCUUGAUGUGUAGGAUAGGUGGGAGGCUUUGAAGUGUGGACGCCAGUCUGCAUGGAGCCGACCUUGAAAUACCACCCUUUAAUGUUUGAUGUUCUAACGUGGACCCGUAAUCCGGGUUGCGGACAGUGUCUGGUGGGUAGUUUGACUGGGGCGGUCUCCUCCUAAAGAGUAACGGAGGAGCACGAAGGUUGGCUAAUCCUGGUCGGACAUCAGGAGGUUAGUGCAAUGGCAUAAGCCAGCUUGACUGCGAGCGUGACGGCGCGAGCAGGUGCGAAAGCAGGUCAUAGUGAUCCGGUGGUUCUGAAUGGAAGGGCCAUCGCUCAACGGAUAAAAGGUACUCCGGGGAUAACAGGCUGAUACCGCCCAAGAGUUCAUAUCGACGGCGGUGUUUGGCACCUCGAUGUCGGCUCAUCACAUCCUGGGGCUGAAGUAGGUCCCAAGGGUAUGGCUGUUCGCCAUUUAAAGUGGUACGCGAGCUGGGUUUAGAACGUCGUGAGACAGUUCGGUCCCUAUCUGCCGUGGGCGCUGGAGAACUGAGGGGGGCUGCUCCUAGUACGAGAGGACCGGAGUGGACGCAUCACUGGUGUUCGGGUUGUCAUGCCAAUGGCACUGCCCGGUAGCUAAAUGCGGAAGAGAUAAGUGCUGAAAGCAUCUAAGCACGAAACUUGCCCCGAGAUGAGUUCUCCCUGAGACUUAG